CUGUCGGGGGAUGCGGCCGUGGUACCAGGCAUGGCUGCGCAGGUCCUCGCUGCUCAGCAGCAGCUCCUCCUCCAGCUCCUUCUUCAGCUUCUCGGGGGUCCUGUCCAUGAUGUGCCUCUCCUUGGAGAACUGCAACACAGAGUCAACCAUGAGCUCACCCUGCCCAGGCCACACCAGGCCAUGCCAGCUGGAGGUGACCGCCUGCUUCACUAAUCCAACCAGUUAUGCUAAAGCCUGCGUUCAGGGAGAUGUGGCCACAGGACUCAGUUCUGACCAAGGAGCUGAGAUGCGAUGGCUGGAGCCUCAACACCAUUCUGGACCAUGAGUGGGGAGCCACAUCUAGGAAUGGCUGGGUGGAAGGUCUGAUUGAGGCUGGGUCCCUGAUGACCGUGGGGCCAACACACCAGUUCUGGGCCGCCAGCCUCCAGGUCUUCUAGGUGAUCUACUUUAUGGACACCUGUGAUUGGUGGGUGUUGCCGUCACUGGUGGCUGAACUAAAUCCUAACCCAUAUUGUGACCUGACUCCCACUGAGUCACCCUGACAGGCAGUCUGCAGGCUUAGCCUAAAUCCCUUGUGCUGCACCCUGGGCCCACUUUUUGGUCUGAGCUCUGAAAAUGUGGAGAUCUGAAAACAUACAGCAGGUCUUGCACGGUUCUUUAUUGAAAAUUUAUUUGCUUAUAUCCAAGAAGCUAUUUCCAUAUUUAUCUUUGCAUUUUCCUUCCUCCCUGAUGUCCUAACACUCAGCCACCUCUCCCUCUCCCCGGCUCCCUUCUCAGCUCUGCUCAUAACUGCAAGGCUUAUUAUUAUUUUUUUUAGCACUUUAUAUGCAUCAAUCUUUUAUUCCAGGUUUUGAGAUAAUGCUUUUAAACUAGUUACAAAAAAUAUAAAAUCAACUCUCUUGCUACUUCUGUCCAUAUUACUAACAGAAGAACAGAAAAAUUCUAAAUUAUUGUUCUUUCCCCCUGUAGACUCCAGAGAGGGAAUCCUACAGGGUACUAUAGGAGGUAGGGUACUACAGGAAAGUACCUAGAGAGAGAGAAAUGAAGAUAUUAAGAUUGAUGCUCUCAAAUAAUUUGGAAUGAAAGACCAGACUUCAAAAAGUAUGCCCUUAAGCUCUUGCAUAAUUUAUGAAAAGUUUGAAGGUUACACAACUGCCUAGACUUGUAUUUUAAAAGGGAAGGAGGGAAAGAGAGAGGGAAGAAAAUGAGAGGGAGGGAGGGAGGGAGAGAGGGAAACCCAGAGUGAACAAGCAAUUGCAAAAGGCUUUCCAUUUCCAGCCAGUGAGGGCUAGCUCGAAUAUACUGCAGGGAGCCAUGUGUGCUGCUGGGCGCCUCUGCCUUAGCAGAUGAUGUAGACAAGUCUGCCAGACAACUGAAGAAAGCAAUUCAAAAGGAUCACCCCAUAUGCCCACCUCAUGAUUAAAUAGUGGUUAUUUUGGGAGUGGAAACCUUCUAGAACUUUCACUACUGCCUUUGUCACAUAUAUUAAUGCAAUUAUUUUUCCCAGCUGCCUGUAUUUUAUGAGAUCUGGAUCUCCCAACUGGGAUUUUGCCACUAUAGAUAAGUACUUUGAUGGACUGUAAACCCCACAGGUUAGUGAGAGGUGACCAUAUAACAAAUUGUGGCAAAAUGUAUCCAUCUGUAUUUCUGAGAACAUUGUGAUUGAUACCUGUGCUUCUUGGGGACCAGAAAUGAGAUUCCUGCUUCAUAGGACUGGUCAUGCAUGUCUGUAACAUUUGGCAGAAUUCUGUAGGCUUCCCACAUACAACCUGAAUUACUGGUGACAGUGUAUCCUUCCACUUCUCCGCUGCCAUGUGGGAAGAAUUUGGAUUUCUCCCUGGAAUGCAACCAUUUUGUUCAUGGCAUAGGCUAGUUUUUGGGACUUGGCCAUGAAGCAAAUUCUAGCAAUUUAAGGUAACACAACAGAGCCUCUGCCUUCAGCAAAGGUUUCAUCCCCUCUGUGUGGCUAUCGGUGUCCUCUAAUUGAUCUAAGUUCUAAUUUAUUCUAUGAAUGCCCUAAGAAUCCUCCUGCCCUUCCUCAGACUACCUUUCUAAGGGAAGGGCAGAAGAGAUUAGUACUGUAUUCACUCACAUAAUAUUCACAUGCAUUGUUGUUGUUUGCAUAGCCCAGAAUGAUUUAUGAGAAGAGGCAGAAUAAGGUGUCAGGUCCUAGGUAUUCCAACUGCUUCCAAUCUUGGGAAAAUAGACACAAGCACGUUGUUCAAAUCCACCCCAGUUCCCAUAGCCUUUUCUCCUAGCUCCUUUCCAGCUCUCACAUUUGUAGACAUCUUCUGAACUCAGUGUGCUUUAAGGACGGGCUGGACUCAAGUCAUCCUCAAUCCCUCUGUCGGCAAGGGACAGUAGGCAUUGUGGCACCCAGAAUGAGUAACACGGCUGUGCUCUCUUAGAAAGCUGACAUUGAAUGUGAAUGCAAGACUGUGGCCCUCUGGACUGUACGUUUUCUUCAACUGCCAGGCAGAGCAAGAUAACUUGUGAAUAAUCAUUUGCUCACAUAAAUGCAAUAAACAUUAAUAAUGAUUACAUUAUCUAGUAAUACAACUCUCUCUCCAAGAUUAAAUUCUCUAACAUUUGCCCCUGAGUUUGAACCUCAUUCCUAGAAGGCAUCUGAUUCCUUGUUUUUCCAGCGUUUUGUCUUGAAGGGAAGGAGGUGGCAGCAGAGGAGGAGUCAGAGAGACAAGGUUGGUUUUCGCUGCCUCAGCAGAGGCUCCAGCCAUCCUGAGCUCACCCCACACAGCAGCUGUGGGCUCAGCCUCCGGAGGGAGGGAUGCUGCUGGGCUUUGGAUCAAGAACAUUGUGCCCACAGGUCUUGCCAGCUUCACUCCAGGGACCAAAUCCACCCACAACCGUGAUGAGACCACAAUGAGACAAAUGUGCAGGCAGGGCCCAUAUCUUGUGCUUCGAGAAAUUUGAGUAGUCCUUUUAGAGGGACAGGGAGAGUAAGAUAAGGUACUAUGUACAUAAAUAAUAAGUAUACCUUCAGGAGGAAAGGAAGAAAAGAAGGGAGGGAGAGUUAGUAACUACUGUACAUGGUCACCCACUCACAUGGCCCCACUUCGAAAUGUUCAUGUUUGUCCCAGUCAUUAGCACUGGGGUCUGAGAUGAGAUGUAGGUAAAGUGACAAAUGGGGCAAAUGUAGGAAGUGGAUGACGCCCCCUCUUGUCCAACAAAAUUGCAGGAUAGUCAGAAAAUUAAUAAGUUACUAUAAUUGAUGCUUUUCAUGAAAAUCUGAGUCUCGCUACAUCUUUCCUAUCCCCAGCAUUUUAAUAGCCCUCAUAUCAAAAAGUGUUACAGCAAGGUGUUUAAGAGCCACCUCAAUCCACAGGCCACUGUGCCACGCACCUGCUGUGUGGCCUCGGGCAAGUGACAUUAACUCUGUAGAGCCUCAGGCUCCUCAUCUACAAAAUGGGCAUGAUGAUAUGUCAUGAGGUGUUAAUAAGGAUUAAAUGGGUCAACAUCUGGAAAGCACUAAGAACAUCCCUGGCACAUAGCACUGUCAAUUGUCAUAAUAGACUCAUAUCAGGAUGCUACUAAUCUGUUUCUGUAAAAUAAGCAGGCUUCCUGUUCAAGGUCUGAUGCAGGAGGCUGAAGGAGGCAGGUGUUUGGGAGGGAAGCAGUUAAGGAAAGCAGCCUGGAGCCUGUGGAGUGCCUGGAGGCUGCCUGCCACAGGUUUCUUCAAUCCUCAAUCACUGCCCGCCUGGCCCAGCACCUCUGCUCGGUUACACGGAGAGGGCUGGUCCUAGCUUGCUGGGGUUGGCUCCAAGAAAUCAUAAAUAUCACUCUGAAUCUGGAAAGCACAUCUCUGCAGCCCCACAUGGCCCCGGCAAGUCCAGUCUUGACAGGUUGGAAUAGCCAGGGCCCAGGAGAUGAUUGGAAAACACAUUCUGGAGGCGCAGAGCCAGGUCCGCGAAUGUGCUGGGAACCUUGAUUAAUGCAGAAACCCACAUUUCAGCAGCUCUCCAAGGAAGAAAAGCCAUUCCGGCAUGGGAGGAAUGGAGCUCAGGGUCUCCUGCGUGAGCAUCAGAGCCUGCAUUUCAAAUCAGGCACAACAAUGGGCCCUGGAGGCGCAGGAGAUUCGACUUCUGAAGACAGGGGAUGGGGAGGGGUGCACUUGGGCGAUCUGUCAGAAACGCCCAGAGGAGGCUGGGGACACUCAUUCGCAUGUAGGAGACAGCAGAAUUUCAAAAAGAUGGCAUUUGCAUUAUAAUUAAUAAUUAUUUUACUCUAUCCCUGCCUGUAAGAAAGGCUUCCUAGUUCCCACAGGAUUUUAAAUUGUGCAAAUCGGCAGGAAAGACUCUUCCCCAGGCCUAGGAACGAGGGUGGAAAGAGGCUGAGGAGGCCAUGGCCAUCCACUGUCAUGACCAAACAGUUGCCAGCAUCUGGCUGCCGGUGGGGGAUGGAUGCCCUCGUCCCUGCACUCAAGGCAGGCACAGUCUCCUUGGAAGAUGACACACAAACAGUUUAACACACCCCAAGCUCUAGAAGCAUACUGUUUGUCCUGCCAUCUGCUCCCUGUCCCUCCCAGCUCGGCAGCUGGGGCAAGUUACCCCACCUCUUUGUCCUUUGGUUUUCCCUGUGGAAAAAUGAGAAAAGUCACUGUGGCCAGGAGUGUCCUGGAAACAGCUUCAUGGAGAUGUGAGGAGGACAGAAGUCUGGAGAACCAGGGUUGGACUGUGAGGAUAAAACUUAAGGACAGGGAUAGGAAGGGUAUUUGGGACAUUUGAGCUAAGAGACAUUUCCUUGUGUCUUUUGAAGACAAAAAGAGCUGGCCUUGGCUGGAAGGUUCUGGCUAGGAGGAGACAGCUAAAGCAUGUGAAGGCAUAACAAUGGUAUGUUAUGUAUUUUAUAAUCAUCCAGCAACCCUGCCACCCCCCAGGAGAGCCCCAUCUUCACUCCAAGCAUGUGGUUCUGACCCCACCUUCCUGACCAUGGCUAGUUGGCCCAGGAAGUCCUCCUGUACCAAAUUGGUCCAAUCAGAGUUCUUCCUGGGAUUUUUCUAGAUGGUACUGAGCGAAGAAGGUACUCUAUCCCACUCCAGUGAAAACAUCAUGAGAUUUGAAGCGUGGAAGUUGCUUCACCCCCGUGUUUCCUGCCAGGUAGAACAAAGUGCUGAGAGAAUCAAACCAGCAAGCAAAGAGAAGAGGAGCAAGAGAUGGAAAGUGACCCCUAGCAUGCACCUCCCUAAGCCCCAAGCUGAUUACAUCAGCCGGCAAACUCCUCUUGUGAGCUAGGCUAGUAUGAGUGGAAUCCCUGUCACUUGUGACCAAAGCAGUCCUGAUCCAGAAACGCAAGGACUGGCUGAGGGCAGCCCAACAUUGGUGGCUGAGGGUUUAGACCAUCACACUCCAGAAAGUCAGAGUCACUGAAAAUCUUUGCCCAGGAAGGCAACAGGUAUACAAAAAGAUGCUUUCAAAGAGGUCAAUCCGGCUGCAGUGAGAGCAAUGGGCUGGAUGGGGUCAGGGCUGAAGGCACAGGUCAGAGUCUUUUGAAAUGUACUGACAAUGCCCAGAUCUCCAUCUCCAGCCCUUAGGGUCAGUGCCUGGUAGGGAUAUUUACUGGAAUCUGCAUUAGAGCUCAGAUGUCAA